GAAACUCGAGCUAAUACCGCAUAAUCCCUACGGGGGAAAGCAGGGGAUCUUCGGACCUUGCGCUGAUGGAUGAGCCCGCGUCGGAUUAGCUUGUUGGUGGGGUAAUGGCCCACCAAGGCGACGAUCCGUAACUGGUCUGAGAGGAUGGCCAGUCACACCGGGACUGAGACACGGCCCGGACUCCUACGGGAGGCAGCAGUGGGGAAUCUUGGACAAUGGGCGCAAGCCUGAUCCAGCCAUGCCGCGUGUUUGAAGAAGGCCUUCGGGUUGUAAAGCACUUUCAGUAGGGAGGAAGGCUUUGGGCUAAUACCCUGGAGUACUUGACGUUACCUACAGAAGAAGCACCGGCUAAUUUCGUGCCAGCAGCCGCGGUAAUACGAAAGGUGCGAGCGUUAAUCGGAAUUACUGGGCGUAAAGCGCGCGUAGGCGGUGUGUUAAGUCGGAUGUGAAAGCCCAGGGCUCAACCUUGGAAUUGCAUCCGAUACUGGCACGCUAGAGUGCAGUA
rnacentral:rRNA from 1 species